UGCUCUCCUCCUCGCCCUCUGCAACACUCUUCCCACUAUUUCAACUCUCGGUUUUCAUCCUUCUCUCUUCAUGUUUCGUUUUUCUCUUUGCACUAUUCUAAAUCUCAUAAUCAAUUGCUCUUUGUUAGUUCCGUUGUUUGUGUUGCAAUAUCUGAAACGAUGUAAUUAGGUUUUUGGUGCGAUUCGCGCGUGUCCCAUUCACUUCUCCAAUCCAGUUUAUUUUCAACAUUCAAUCUAUACUAUUAUUUGUUAAUGGAGGCUAAGCUACAAAACAGAGAAAUGAUAAUGUUUCUGAGUGUGAAUCCUAUGUUCGUGAUCCUAUUGAGCCAACAGAGUACAAAUCUAAAUUCGAUAAUCUGAUUGCACAUUUCCAAACUCUAUUCAAGUCAGAAGACAUGUUGCCGAUUUUUGAGCAUUUUAUUAAUACAUAACUGUUAGACUCCGCGGCUGCCCUGACCCGUCUUGUUGCAUUGGGGAUUGGUGCAGUUAUGGAGCACCGAGAAGCUGUGGCUACUCCAGCUGCUGAGUGCGCGCCAAAUUUUUUACCUUAACGUAUUCCUUUGAAUCAGACGUGGUUGCUGUUGAUCAAGUACAUCCAUUGUUAUCUGGAUUAUAUGAUUCUCUAUAAAUAGAACAAAAUAUUUGAGGGGGAAAUGCUCAAAUUGAUGAGAGUGUGGAUCGCUAGGCCGUUGGAAAUGGACGUUGCUGAGGAGCUGACUGAGCACAUGUUGUGCUCAACAGUUGAUCUUGUGUCUUCUUACAACCUGUUUAUGGCAGCAUUACAACUGCUGGAACAUGCUCGCUGGUUUGAGGUGAGAAUGUAAACAAGUGCUUAAAUUUGUUUUCCCAAUUACCAAUUUACCAUAUCAAACUUAUGUAGUUAUUGCAUCUAUUUGAUCUCAGUAGGAACUAGUUACAUUUCAUUGAAAUGAUGACAAAAGAUUCCAAUGGUAAACUUCAUUAUUGAUAUGAACUUUUCAGAGGGAAAGGAUAUA